rnacentral:misc_RNA from 1 species
UUAUAUUUAACGCUGCAUUACUCAUAUUAAAAACAUUUCUUUAUGCGUGGUUCAUUAGAGAUUAGGAGAUGUUACUUACUACAUUUGUAGCUUUAUGUCUGGUUGUGCAUAUUAUUCACAACGAGGCUACCGUCUUCAAUGAUGUUUUUGCCGUUAAAACAAAUGAUUAUCCGAAAUCUACGUGUCAUACAAUUUCUAAUAUUAAAAGUACGAGCACAUGUCUAGGAACAUGCAUAAUCUCGGUGGAUCGCAAUGUCAUGAUCAGCCAUGAUGAAUCUACAAGCACUUGUAUGUGUUGCAAUGAUACCACAGGAAGUGACAUAACUGGUUCAAAUUGGAAAUCUUAUGUCCCACGUAAUGCCCUGUGCUGACGGUUAUGCGACUUACUAUUUGAUGCCCUACCAAAUAUGUCUGAAGUAUUUCCCAGGACCUGUCUCAUAUUCAACAGCUCAGGCCAACUGUCACGCUCAAGACGCCGAUCUCAUAAAGGUCGAUUCCCAGGAAAAGUACGACAUAUUCAAGGAUUAUCAUGGACCAAUUGCCAAAAAUGUUGCAAUUGAAGUCUGGGUUCAAGGGGAAAAGGUCGGAGAUCAGUGGCAGUUUGAUGACGGAACUCCGAUGCCUAACAUCUGUCCUAUAAACAUUUGGGGGGAAAAUGCAGAUCAAGUACAUAUGCGGGCCAAAAGCUCUAAUUCUUUUAAUUGUAGUGAUGCUGCGAACGCCCGUCUAUGUAAUUAUUCGUGCGAAUACCAUUUUCUGUCGUCAUUCAAUAAUUAAUUUGAGAACAAUAAUUGAAACAUUGAAUUGAUGAUACGUUUAUGUCACGGAACAUUUAUGGCAAAAUAUUGCCACACUCGCCCGUUUGCUGUCUGUUUUUAGCAACAUUUGUUUAACGUAAAUGUGUUGCUUUUUUGCUUGCAUAUUUGUUGUAAAUUGAAAUAAUAAAUCAUUCAUUG